CGUAGGGGGCGAGCGUUGUCCGAAGUUACUGGGCGUAAAGCGCGCGUAGGCGGCUCUUUAAGUCUGGCGUGAAAGGUUCAGGGCUCAACCCGAACAGUGCGCUGGCGACUGGGGAGCUUGAGGACGGGAGAGGGGAGCGGAAUUCCGGGUGUAGCGGUGAAAUGCGUAGAUAUCCGGAGGAACACCGAUGGCGAAGGCAGCUUCCUGGCCCGUAUCUGACGCUGAGGUGCGAAAGCGUGGGGAGCGAACGGGAUUAGAUACCCCGGUAGUCCACGCCGUAAACGAUGAGUGCUAGGUGUUCGAGGUAUCGACCCCUCGGGUGCCGCCGCUAACGCAGUAAGCACUCCGCCUGGGGAGUACGGCCGCAAGGUUG
rnacentral:rRNA from 1 species